CCGGCGCGCCCACCGCCGCCGAACCUCGCCGUGGCCACCACCGGGCCCCGCCGCCCUCGUCCGGCUCCUCCGGCGGCCGGGUCGGGCUCCGGCGAGCCUCCCCACGCCCCUGCGGUCCUCCUCCGGCGAGCUCCAACUCCGGUGAACAGCGCCCCGCGGUCAACCUCGAAGUCCGUGCCCGCGAGAUCCCGAUCUGGAUCUGAGAUAUUUUGACCCGACGGUUGACUUUUCCCUUCAAACCCUAGUUUUUUAUGCGAUGUUUGACUGCUCGUAUCUCCGCAACCGUAGAUCCGUUUUGGGCAUAUGAUAUAUCAAAAUCUUCGCCUCGACAUGUACAUCAUUUCAUUCCAUUGCAUCAUUUGCAUUUGAGGUCAUCUUGAUACCCAAAAUGCUUUUAGAAGGAGGCUUCGUGAGUUAAAUUGCAGAUCCGUUAGUUCAUCAUGCACUUUUGUCAUUUUUGCUAUAUUUAAUUCGUGCAUGAUAUGCCUGUGGCCCUUUGGGAUGUAUUGUGAAGCAUUUUGUCUUCUUUCCAGAGGUGCCACCUAUGCAUUUUUAGGAUGUGUGUGUUGUCUUGUGCAAGCUUGCGAAGAGAGGCACCUGAGAACGCAGAUUUCAGGGACUUAGUGAUUUUCACUAAGUCUGGGAUAUUUUAGUUCAUGAUGCUAUAUGUCCAGCUUGUUUCCUAGUGAUCCGUGCCUCUUUUGAGGAUGAUCAGUAAGGGAGUUUUGAUAUUUAUGUUAUGCUCUAUCCAUCCAUGUCUUUGUUGGCAUUUGUGGAGUGCUCUAGGUUGACUCAAUCGAGCUUAACUUUUGCUUCGUUGUUAAUCUGGGCAGAUCGUCAACUUGUUUGCGAUUUCGCCGAUGCUACCGUUAGCGUUCCAUGCAUGCUAUGCCUUCGUUCUUGCCAUGNNNNNNNNNNCGCGCCCACCGCCGCCGAACCUCGCCGUGGCCACCACCGGGCCCCGCCGCCCUCGUCCGGCUCCUCCGGCGGCCGGGUCGGGCUCCGGCGAGCCUCCCCACGCCCCUGCGGUCCUCCUCCGGCGAGCUCCAACUCCGGUGAACAGUGCCCCGCGGUCAACCUCGAAGUCCGUGCCCGCGAGAUCCCGAUCUGGAUCUGAGAUAUUUUGACCCGACGGUUGACUUUUCCCUUCAAACCCUAGUUUUUUAUGCGAUGUUUGACUGCUCGUAUCUCCGCAACCGUAGAUCCGUUUUGGGCAUAUGAUAUGUCAAAAUCUUCGCCUCGACAUGUACAUCAUUUCAUUCCAUUGCAUCAUUUGCAUUUGAGGUCAUCUUGAUACCCAAAAUGCUGUUAGAAGGAGGCUUCGUGAGUUAAAUUGCAGAUCCGUUAGUUCAUCAUGCACUUUUGUCAUUUUUGCUAUAUUUAAUUCGUGCAUGAUAUGCCUGCGCCCCUUUGGGAUGUAUUGUGAAGCAUUUUGUCUUCUUUCCAGAGGUGCCACCUAUGCAUUUUUAGGAUGUGUGUGUUGUCUUGUGCAAGCUUGCGAAGAGAGGCACCUGAGAACGCAGAUUUCAGGGACUUAGUGAUUUUCACUAAGUCUGGGAUAUUUUAGUUCAUGAUGCUAUAUGUCCAGCUUGUUUCCUAGUGAUCCGUGCCUCUUUUGAGGAUGAUCAGUAAGGGAGUUUUGAUAUUUAUGUUAUGCUCUAUCCAUCCAUGUCUUUGUUGGCAUUUGUGGAGUGCUCUAGGUUGACUCAAUCGAGCUUAACUUUUGCUUCGUUGUUAAUCUGGGCAGAUCGUCAACUUGUUUGCGAAUUCGCCGAUGCUACCGUUAGCGUUCCAUGCAUGCUAUGCCUUCAUUCUUGCCAUGAGUAGCUAGAACUUUGUGCCUUCUUGCUGGUGAUAUGAUUUUCUUGCCAUGUCUUGCACCGUAGUGAGUGCAUCGAGCUCGUUUACAUGCCUUCGUGAGUUAAAUUUCAGCAUGUCUCAGUUUUCACUAAGUCUGAAAACUGAUUGUGUUCGAGCGAUGUUCGUGAGCUCGGUAGAGUAUUUUGUGAACCCUUUUGGCCCCAGGUCACUUUGGGUGUUUUAUUAAGCUUGUUGAGUAGCUCCAUGCCAUGUUCUUACUUGUCAUGUUCAGGUUUUCUACCAUGUUGUUUUGCUGCUCCGAAGAGAGCUUCGUGAUCUGAAAUUUCAGACUAGUGUUAAUUUCACUAAGUCUGAAAUCUGUUUUGCAUUUGCGUUUUAGCCAUGCUUGUUUGAACCUCUUAAUGGAUGAAUUUGCCUAUGCCUCAGUGCUAGUGUUUUGUCAACCAUCUUGUGUACAUCACUGCCAUGUAUUUUUUUUUCAUGUUUGGUGGCUGUAGCAUGUUCGUUUUGUUGCAUUUAGAUGCCUACUUGCUGUAAAUCGCAGACCGGUGUCAUAUCUUAAAACGCUCGCCAUUUCCAAACCGUAGCUCCGAUUCCUAUGAUCUUUAUAUCGUUUUCAAGCGAUUUCAUCCCCUCUAUCCAGUGGCACACUUGGUUUUCCAAGUUGAUGCCAGGUUCAUGCAUUUCCUGUCAUAUCUUGCAUAUUGCAUCCCGCAUCGCAUCCCGCAUAGCAUAUCGUCAUUUCAUCAUAUUGCUUGGUCUUGCCCGUGGUUGAUUGUGUCCUUGUUGCUUGUUUGUCUUUGGGUAGAGCCGGGAGACGAGUUCGCUACCGAGGAGCCCGUUGAGUUUGCUUGUGAGGAUCCAGUCAACUCUGACAACUGUGCAGGCAAGAUGAUCAUACCCUCGAAAUCACUACUAUCUUUGCUAUGCUAGUUUGCUUGCUCUUUUGCUUUGCCACUGCUACGAUGCCUACCAUUUGCUUGUCAGCCUCCCAAUUGCCAUGUUGAACCUCUAACCCACCUUUGUCCUAGCAAACCGUUGAUUGGCUAUGUUACCGCUUUGCUCAGCCCUUCUUAUAGCGUUGUUAGCUGCAGGUGAAGAUUGGAGCCGUUCCUUGUUGGAACAUUUAUUUACUUGUUGGGAUAUCAUUAUAUUGCUAUGUUAUAUUAAUGCAUCUAUAUACUUGGUAAAGGGUGGAAGGCUCGGCCUCUCGCCUAGUGUUUUGUUCCACUCUUGCCGCCCUAGUUUCCGUCAUAUCGGUGUUAUGUUCCCGGAUUGUUGCGUCCCUUACGCGGUUGGGUUAUGAUGGGAACCCCUUGAUAGUUCGCCUUGAUUAAAGCUUUUCCAGCAAUGCCCAACAUUGGUUUUACCAUUUGCCACCUAGCCUCUUUUCCCUUGGGUUUCCGGAGCCCGAAGGUCAUCUUAUUUUAACCCCCCCGGGCCAGUGCUCCUCUGAGUGUUGGUCCAAACUAGAGCCCUGUGCAGCGCCCCCUCGGGGAAACUCGAGGUUUGGUUUUAGUUGUAUGGAGCGCUCAUCUGAGUGUGCCCUGAGAAAGAGAUAUGUGCAGCUCCUAUCGGGAUUUGUCGGCACAUUCGGGCGGUGUUGCUGGUCUUGUUUUAACCUGUCGAAUUGUCUUGUUGUACCGGGUUGCCGAGUCUGAUCGGUGUGGCUCGGGUGGAGGUCUAUUCCUUCGUUGACCGUGAGAGCUUGUCAUGGGCUAAGUUGGGACCCCCUGCAGGGAUUGAUCUUUCGAAAGCCGUGCCCGCGGUUAUGGGCAGAUGGGAAUUUGUUAAUGUCCGGUUGUAGAUGACUUGAAUUAAACUUAAUUAAAAUGAAUCAACCGUGUGUGUUACCNNNNNNNNNNUUUUGAUAUUUAUGUUAUGCUCUAUCCAUCCAUGUCUUUGUUGGCAUUUGUGGAGUGCUCUAGGUUGACUCAAUCGAGCUUAACUUUUGCUUCGUUGUUAAUCUGGGCAGAUCGUCAACUUGUUUGCGAUUUCGCCGAUGCUACCGUUAGCGUUCCAUGCAUGCUAUGCCUUCGUUCUUGCCAUGAGUAGCUAGCACUUUGUGCCUUCUUGCUGGUGAUAUGCUUUCCUUGCCAUGUCUUGCACCGUAGUGAGUGCAUCGAGCUCGUUUACAUGCCUUCGUGAGUUAAAUUUCAGCAUGUCUCAGUUUUCACUAAGUCUGAAAACUGAUUGUGUUCGAGCGAUGUUCGUGAGCUCGGUAGAGUAUUUUGUGAACCCUUUUGGCCCCAGGUAACUUUGGGUGUUUUAUUAAGCUUGUUGAGUAGCUCCAUGCCAUGUUCUUACUUGUCAUGUUCAGGUUUUCUACCAUGUUGUUUUGCUGCUCCGAAGAGAGCUUCGUGAUCUGAAAUUUCAGACUAGUGUUAAUUUCACUAAGUCUGAAAUCUGUUUUGCAUUUGCGUUUUAGCCAUGCUUGUUUGAACCUCUUAAUGGAUGAAUUUGCCUAUGCCUCAGUGCUAGUGUUUUGUCAACCAUCUUGUGUACAUCACUGCCAUGUAUUUUGUUUUCAUGUUUGGUGGCUGUAGCAUGUUCGUUUUGUUGCAUUUAGAUGCCUACUUGCUGUAAAUCGCAGACCGGUGUCAUAUCUUAAAACGCUCGCCAUUUCCAAACCGUAGCUCCGAUUCCUAUGAUCUUUAUAUCGUUUUCAAGCGAUUUCAUCCCCUCUAUCCAGUGGCACACUUGGUUUUCCAACUUGAUGCCAGGUUCAUGCAUUUCCUGUCAUAUCUUGCAUAUUGCAUCCCGCAUCGCAUCCCGCAUAGCAUAUCGUCAUUUCAUCAUAUUGCUUGGUCUUGCCCGUGGUUGAUUGUGUCCUUGUUGCUUGUUUGUCUUUGGGUAGAGCCGGGAGACGAGUUCGCUACCGAGGAGCCCGUUGAGUUUGCUUGUGAGGAUCCAGUCAACUCUGACAACUGUGCAGGCAAGAUGAUCAUACCCUCGAAAUCACUACUAUCUUUGCUAUGCUAGUUUGCUCGCUCUUUUGCUUUGCCACUGCUACGAUGCCUACCAUUUGCUUGUCAGCCUCCCAAUUGCCAUGUUGAACCUCUAACCCACCUUUGUCCUAGCAAACCGUUGAUUGGCUAUGUUACCGCUUUGCUCAGCCCUUCUUAUAGCGUUGUUAGCUGCAGGUGAAGAUUGGAGCCGUUCCUUGUUGGAACAUUUAUUUACUUGUUGGGAUAUCAUUAUAUUGCUAUGUUAUAUUAAUGCAUCUAUAUACUUGGUAAAGGGUGGAAGGCUCGGCCUCUCGCCUAGUGUUUUGUUCCACUCUUGCCGCCCUAGUUUCCGUCAUAUCGGUGUUAUGUUCCCGGAUUGUUGCGUCCCUUACGCGGUUGGGUUAUAAUGGGAACCCCUUGAUAGUUCGCCUUGAUUAAAGCUUUUCCAGCAAUGCCCAACAUUGGUUUUACCAUUUGCCACCUAGCCUCUUUUCCCUUGGGUUUCCGGAGCCCGAAGGUCAUCUUAUUUUAACCCCCCCGGGCCAGUGCUCCUCUGAGUGUUGGUCCAAACUAGAGCCCUGUGCAGCGCCCCCUCGGGGAAACUCGAGGUUUGGUUUUAGUUGUAUGGAGCGCUCAUCUGAGUGUGCCCUGAGAAAGAGAUAUGUGCAGCUCCUAUCGGGAUUUGUCGGCACAUUCGGGCGGUGUUGCUGGUCUUGUUUUAACCUGUCGAAUUGUCUUGUUGUACCGGGUUGCCGAGUCUGAUCGGUGUGGCUCGGGUGGAGGUCUAUUCCUUCGUUGACCGUGAGAGCUUGUCAUGGGCUAAGUUGGGACCCCCUGCAGGGAUUGAUCUUUCGAAAGCCGUGCCCGCGGUUAUGGGCAGAUGGGAAUUUGUUAAUGUCCGGUUGUAGAUGACUUGAAUUAAACUUAAUUAAAAUGAAUCAACCGUGUGUGUUACCAUGAUGGCCCCUUCUCGGCGGAGUCCGGGAAGUGGACACGGUGUUGGAGUUAUGCUUGCAUAGGAUGUUCCUGUAGCUUCUCGCUCGUGCUUCGCCUUCUCUUCUCGCUCUCUUUUGCGUAUAAGUUAGCCACCACAUAUGCUAGUCGCUUGCUGCAGCUCCACAUAUAUUUGCCUUAUCCAUUCCUAUGAGCUUAAAUAGUCUUGAUCGCGUGGGUGUGAGAUUGCUGAGUCCCUGUGGCUCACAGAUACUACAACUCCAGAUGCAGGUCCAGGUGAUUCUGCUCCAGUUGACGAUUACGAGCUCAGGUGGGAGUUCGACGAGGACUCUCAGCGUUACUACGUGUCCUUUCCAGAUGAUCAGUAGUGGUGCCUAGUUGGGGUUAUCGAUUCAGGACCUUGUCGCAUGUUGGGGGUCUUUUCUAUUUUGGCGCCAUAGUCGGGCCAUGAGUGUUUGUUUGAUGGAUGUUAUUUAUGUACUCUGAUGUGACGUGGCGAGUGUAAGCCAACUAUGGUAUCUUCCCCUUUUAUUAUAUAUAUUACAUGGGAUG
rnacentral:lncRNA from 1 species